CUCACCCCCUUCUUCAACAUCUGACAGAUACAUUAGAACAGUUGCUGUCCGUUGGCCCCCAUUCUUAGUGUUGAACUCAUCAAGAAAAUAAUCAUAGUGAGCCUCAUACUUCUGCCCAACUUCAUAAUGAAGAACUUGAACUCCUUCUCCAUGCUCUGUAGGUCAUCAAGUAAUUUCAAAUAGGCACUAGCUGAAGAAUUAGAAACUAGUUAUAGUUCAGAGUACAGUAGAUACAGUGAACCAUUACACACAUGCAUCACUAUUGUUCUACUCGUUAGUGACUUAAAUAUCCUCUUCAAAAUCGUCUACAUGAAAAGCAUACAUUAAAUUCAUAUUAGAGCUCGUCGCAAAUGACACUUAAAAUUCAGGGAAAAAAAAUACACAGCCUAGUAUAUUCAAAAUACUUCAAAGCAUUUAUCCUUCAUGAUAAAACAGUAAAUAAAACUUAAAAUAGUCAUGUCACGCUUGCAGGCCAUAUAAAUAUAGGCUGAAAGGAUCAGAUUGUGUAUAGCUAAGAAGUGGUUUGCGCAGGUAUUUUGCUUACCGCCUGCCCCCAGCAAAGCUUUUAGCAAAAAGUUUUAAAUGUUGAGAAUUCAUUUUCUUUAAAAAAAAGCUUGAAAUACUUCUUUAACAAAAUAUUUCGAAAUGCAGCAGACAAAAUGAACUACUGGGUCGGCCAUACAAAAUGUCAUGCGCUUAAUCAGCAUACAAGAUACUGCUGGUCUAACAUCCUAAGUUUAUUGUUUCAAACCAAAUUAAACAUUUGUUAAUAUAUUUUUGAAUGUCAUAC
rnacentral:misc_RNA from 1 species